rnacentral:rRNA from 1 species
UACAGAGGGUGCGAGCGUUGUUCGGAAUUAUUGGGCGUAAAGCGCGCGUAGGUGGCCCCGUAAGUCCGCUGUGAAAGUCAAAGGCUCAACCUUUGAAAGCCGGUGGAUACUGUGGGACUAGAGUACGGAAGAGGCGAGUGGAAUUCCUGGUGUAGCGGUGGAAUGCGCAGAUAUCAGGAGGAACACCAAUAGCGAAGGCAGCUCGCUGGGACGUUACUGACACUGAGGCGCGAAAGCGUGGGGAGCGAACAGG